AUCAUUACUUAUGUGCCGGUGGCGGAGGCGAAAAGCUGGACACCUUCUGACGCUGAGGCGCGGAGGCCAGGGGAGCGAGCGGGAUUAGAUACCCCGGUAGUCCUGGCCCUGAGCGAUGGGUACUAGAUUGUGGACCGGACAUGGGUUCACAGUCGAAGCGAGUGUGAUUCUCAAUACCCCGCCUGGGGAGUAUGGUCGCAAGGCUGGAGCUCGAGGGAAUUGACGGGGGCUCACACAAGCGGUGGAGCAUGUGGCUUAAUUCGAGGCUACGCGAAGAACCUUAUCCUGGACUUGACAUGUGCGGAGGCGGGAGGUCUCAAUAGGGUGCGGGAGAAAUACCCGAACGGUAUCCAGUCCCUUAUGUCUCCUACAGGUGCUGCAUGGCUGUAAACAGCUAUCUCAAUAAAGAGAUGUCGGGUUUCUCAAUCCCAUAACGAGCGCAACCCCUGUUUCCAGUUGCUAACGCUUCGGGCGAGGACUCUGGAGAGACUGCCGGUGUUGAGCCGGAGGAAGGUGGGGAUGAAAACUCUCAAUCCUCAUGGCCUUUAUGUCCAGGGCUGCACAAAAGCUACAAUGGCCUGCACAGAGGGACGCCAACCCGCGAGGGGGAGCUAAUCCCGAGGAGCAGGCCCCAGUUCAGAUCGCAGGCUGCAACUCGCCUGAAAGUCUCAAUUGGAAUCGCUAGUAAUCGCGGGUCAGCAACACCGCGGUGAAUGUGUUCCUGAGCCUUGUACACACCGCCCGUCAAGCCACGGAGGGGAGGGACCGGAAAAUCUCAAUAAACGCACCAAGCCG
rnacentral:rRNA from 1 species